AGUAAUGUAAGCUAAAUAAGCUACUGGGCCCAUACCCCUCUAAUGCAGGUUAGACUCCUGCCGUUGCUA
rnacentral:tRNA from 1 species